UUUUUUUCACCAAAGCCGUAGUUUCAUAGAUGUAAUUUUAUUUCUGUAUCGAAGCGGGAAACACGGUCGAAAGUUAAAUGUUUAGAAGUACUACAUCGACGACGAGAAACGACUGUCAUGCGCGUGAAGCUUCGGACCUUCUCUCAUCCGUCAUAUUUGUGGUGUUUAUUGACACUACGCACCGAACAGACACGCGGAUGUCAGUUUCAGUUAAAGGGUGUCUCGCAGUUUACACGUUAUGCAUUGUUUCAUCGUUCCAUGUUACCGAGAAACAUUUUUUUUCCUUUCGAAAAUAGUAUUAUUGUGGAUUUUUGACAAGUUUUCUCGAGAUUUUUUUUGAAUUGUGGGGAAAAUUGAAGGAUUCACGAAUGUCAAGUGUGACAUUUCCGUGAAUGUUUGAUAACAAUUUCUGUAGGUUCUCCCAGCUGUGACUCGUGGCGCUGUGUUCGCAGCAGUGUUCUCGGUCAACGCAUGUUUAUACGCUCGAUCGUCGAACUCUCUCGAAGCUCUUCACUUUCUUUCAGAGUUUUCACAAUUAUUAGUAAUGAAAUUUCCUAAGAAAUUUCAUGCCAAUUUCCAUUACGAGUACUGUCAAAAUUUUCGUAUAACGGGAUCGUCGUUUCAAAGUAACCUCAAUAAAUACGUACACAGGCUAAUGUAAAUGCGUAAGAAAGAAUAUUAUCGAGCCGGUAGUUGACAGCUGUCAAUCACGACAUCUGUUCGACGCAAUGUGAAUUUUGAUACUAUGAUUUUUUUAAUUAAUUUCUUCAAAAAGUUAGUGGAUGAACGAAUUUUUGAACGAUCAUAAAUUUGUAAUCAAAUUUCAUGUCGAAAUCCUUAUCUUAAACAAGAAAAUUCGUUCAAUUUUGAUUAAAAAAAAACAGGGGCUCGAACAUCAAAAAAAUGUAUUUGCAAUCGAGAUAGGAAUCUUCCACUUCUCGGAUCGCCGUAAACGAGACAAAGAGUGACUAUAGGUGGCUGGCUAUACAUAUGUUGUAUCAAUCCUGUUCCACGACAAAGUAAUACCAGGGGUGUUGUAUAUAUAGUUACGGAAAGGAGCGACAGGUUGCGGGGGAGGAGAGAAAUAGAAUGCAGAGUGCGAUAUCCUGGCGCAAGAUGGCUUUGGAAGGCAAUUGUAUAUCGCCUCUCUUGGAACUUGGAAUGCUCAAAGGUUAUGAUAUGCAACAUAUGGGUCGGACGGAUAUUGAUAUCAAUUUUUUUUUGUAGUGCAAUAUUUAUUAUUAUAAUUCAAACAUGUUGUAACGUACAUAAAAACUAUAAUUUUUUGGUGGUUAUUAUUCAUUGAAAUUACAAAUUUUUUUUUAAGAGAGUUUAUCAUAUUUUUGCUCAUUAUAAAUAUGUAAAAUUGUAAAUUGGAAAACUGCUCCUUGGAAAAAGGCUGUCAAAAUUGUCUCUAUAUAAACGUGGAAAAAGAAACCGACCCAUUCUUCGUCAGGGGUGAUCAUACAAAAUGGCCACCCGCGUUCUUGAGGUUUCGAUACUGCGUGAAUAGAACAGCAUAAGCAACGAUCCGCAUACGGAUUGGGUCGCGGUGAGGGAAAUAGAAGGGCGGAGAUGAUCAGAGUAGCGGCUUGUAACAAAAUAUGAAAUACGUGGUUGUAUACAGCGAUGGAGGGAUAGCAGAGAAAGGGUUUAAUAGUACUAUGUCAUAAGACACAAAGGAUAUCGAUGCAAGUGCGGAGAAAAUUAAGGAGGAUCGAAAGUGAGGCAUAUCGUACGUGAGCAAUGUUGUCGUCUCUGACCGUUCGCAAAACGAGAAAGAAAGACGAUGGCACGCGCCACUUACGCCCACGCGACGUUUAUUAUAAUGAUUGUGUUGCUCUCUCGACGGUUUUGUCAGCCGGGUGUCAAACGCGGUAGACUGCAGUGGCGUCGUUGGUGGCGGCUACAAUAAGCGCCAAGCGAAAAGAAUCGCGCUCCAGGAUUGGUGUCCGCGAUGCGCCAUACGAAGGGGCACGGGAGAAAAAGGAUAGAGAUUUCACGGCGUGACAGCAGCUUGGUAGAAAAGUCCAGCCAUGCUGUGUUCGGCUCGUCACCUCGGUGACAGGCGUUCUUUGUAUAAUGCGACGAGACUACAAUCUGUAGAGAGGGAGAGCGCGAUAUGCCGAGGGCAAAUAUAUGCGUUGAUACCGAGUGAGAACGAUUGCGUUGAGCUUUAAUAUUUACGUUUUAUGAGUCCUUCACACCACAAAUUCUGCCGGGAAUUUAGAAUAUUUACUGGUGCGACCCCUUGAUUAUACAAUGCAUCGAAUUCUCAAGGUAUAUAUACAUUUGUGGUUAACACUUGGUACGGCUCCCCAAUUAUUGUUAAUUCCGGUUUGUUCUCGACGUAGAAAGACAUUGAUCACGUUUCUCAGGUCGAAACUGUGCUGAACCCCAUCGAAAUUCAACUUGUCCAAUAAAAUAGUACAGACUGCAGGAAUCUAGAGCAGAUUCACAUCCAA